rnacentral:lncRNA from 10 species
UAGCGAUGUGCAUAUUUCAACGGGAGAAGGUGGCUAGGUUAGAGACCCACGGUCGGCACGAGGAACGCCACAGUGUGGUAUAUUUGGGCUGGGAAAGGCUCCCGUGCAAAGAAUUUUAACACAUUCUUCUCUGGGCGGCCGAGGAGGCCACGCUAACCUGACAGCUCUGGAGCAAACGGUUAGAGAAAAUGGAUCGCUUUCCUCGGCCCAGGAUCCCCCACAGCCCCACCCCGUCCCGGCCCGGGGCGGCGUGUCCCUCGAUUCAUCAUCUGCAAAACGAGGAUUGUGAUGAGGAGUGAAGGAAAUCAUUUGCUUGAGUGUGAACAGCCUGUCUGGCACUUUAAUGUUAAGAUGGUGAUGAGAAGAGGAAGGCGAGGCGAGAGAUGAUAGAUUGAGACCCUUGGCAGUGCUGCAGAAUGAACUUAGAGAACUACUGCCUUAGACUGGGCUAAGCAGGGAUUUUUUCUUUUUUCUUUUUCUGAAUGGGUUAGCCUGACCUCCUUCAGCAGAGGCUGGUGGGAACUGGGGAUGCAUAAGAUGAAAAUACACGGGCCGAGGGGAAUUUAUGUUCAUUUUGACCUCAAUUAACUUAUAAAACAUAUAAGAAAUUAUAUGCAAAUAAGUACCAAUUAUUUUCUGUCAGGAUCUUGUGUCACUUUUUGCAGUCUUGGCAUCUACAUUAUGCCGGGUCACUUGAUCCUCAAUUUUCCACGCCGGGCCAUCACCCCCAAUUCAUUUUGUACCCACCAAUUUCCUGACAGCAUUGCCAGUUUCAGACUAUCUUUUUAUUUAUUCUUUGUUCAGAUCCUGACUGACCUUGUAAACUUCUUUAUUGCCUAGAACUGGUAAGACAGCACUGCAUAAAUUAAUAAAAAUGUUGCCUUUUAAUAUAUCAGCAAAAUGACUGGAGAGCUGUUGAAUUCAUAAUAUGUAUUCUUAGAGAUUUUCAAAGCAUCUCCUAGGGUUUCAGUGCACAAUCCCUAUUAAAGCUAAAUACGAUUGGAGUACAUCGCCUCAAAAAUCCUUACCUAACAGUUCUCCUUGGAUCUCUAUUAG